UACGGGGGGGGCAAGCGUUGUUCGGAAUUACUGGGCGUAAAGGGCUCGUAGGUGGCCAACUAAGUCAGACGUGAAAUCCCUCAGCUUAACUGGGGAACUGCGUCCGAUACUGGCGGGCUUGAAUCCGGGAGAGGGAUGCGGAAUUCCAGGUGUAGCGGUGAAAUGCGUAGAUAUCUGGAGGAAGGCCGGUGGCGAAGGCGGCGCUCUGGAACAUUUCUGACGCUGAGGCUCGAAAGCGUGGGGAGCAAACAGG
rnacentral:rRNA from 1 species